GCGAUCUGCCCUUCGCCACGACGAAGAUCCGUGAAAUCACGUGCGCCCCUCUGACGACAUAAAAGGAGAACGUACGUCGCUAAUUGGACCUGAGAUAUCGUCCUGGAGCAUCGCGAUUACAUGUGUCUAUAUACGUAUAAAGGAUGAGACACGUGAUAAGGAGGGUGGACGAUAAACGUGAUUAGUCCUCGGAAUAUCCUGGUUGAAGCACGACCCCGAUGAAGCUUAGGCAAGAUAGAGAGAGAGAGAGAGCUCUCGCAUACUCAGGUGUUCGCUCUCACAGGCCUGGAGAUGUGUUUGACGUUCGCAUUACAGCGAAAACCACUCGUUGUCCUUAACGUUUGCGAUUCAAUCGUGUCGGGAGUGCCGUGUAAAAGUUCGGGCGAUCGUAUAUAAUUAUUCGUAUUUUCGCGAGUGAGUGCUACGAAGGACCAAGAGAGGAUCAAGAGAGGAGGCUGAAGAGGCAUCGGGUGACAGCGGGGCAACUGUGAGAUCAAUGAUGUGUACUACUACAACUCCGCUAUUGCAGGUAUCG